GGAAGGGGAUAGAAGAGAGAGAGAUUCUGAAACAGAAGCCUAGAAGAGCUGCUUUAGGUUGCUGAAGUAAGGGGCUACCUAAACAGUUGACAAAGCAUUGGUGUCCAGCUUUUAGAGAAGGCUGGCUACUGGGAUUUGACUGGAGUCAUUUCUCUGACC